rnacentral:misc_RNA from 1 species
UUGGAGGAGCUUUGAUUAUUUGAUUAUCAGGUGUAUGGCGUGGCAUACAUACUUGUAAUGGCUUUCGCGAUGUAAUUUUAGAGUCUGGUUCUUUGCUCAUGGAUUUGUUAAAUAACUGACAUAUAGGAUGGAGAAAGCUGCUUUUAAAAUAAGGAUGGAGGACAAAUUUUAAUAAAUGAUUCAGUUGUGCAAUUCCUGCUGUCAUCCGCAAAAUCAUGCAAUGAUCUCUUGCUGAUCACUAAUGCUCACCACUGUUGUUGUCCUUAUUUUUGACUUUGUCGAUGAAAUGCUAAUUUGAUGAUG